AGGACGAACGCUGGCGGCGUGCUUAACACAUGCAAGUCGAACGGUGAGGCUGGAGCUUGCUCCAGCUGAUCAGUGGCGAACGGGUGAGUAACACGUGAGCAACCUGCCCUUGACUCUGGGAUAACCCCGGGAAACCGGAGCUAAUACCGGAUACGAACCGCAUAGGCAUCUGCGCGGUUGGAAAGAUUUAUCGGUCAAGGAUGGGCUCGCGGCCUAUCAGCUUGUGGUGGGGUAACGGCCCACCAAGGCGACGACGGGUAGCCGGCCUGAGAGGGCGACGGCCACACUGGGACUGAGACACGGCCCAGACUCCUACGGGAGGCAGCAGUGGGGAAUAUUGCACAAUGGGCGAAAGCCUGAUGCAGCGACGCCGCGUGAGGGAUGAAGGCCUUCGGUUGUAAACCUCUUUCAGCAGGAAGAAGCGAAAGUGACGGUACCUGCAGAAGAAGCACCGGCUAACACGUGCCAGCAGCCGC
rnacentral:rRNA from 1 species